rnacentral:rRNA from 1 species
AUUGAACGCUGGCGGCAGGCCUAACACAUGCAAGUCGAGCGAGCGGCGGACGGGGGAGUAAUGUCUGGGAAACUGCCUGAUGGAGGGGGCUAACUACUGGAAACGGUAGCUAAUACCGCAUACCAUCAGAUGUGCCCAGAUGGGAUGAGAUCGUAGGUGGGGUAACGGCUCACCUAGGCGACGCUCCCUAGCUGGUCUGAGAGGAUGACCAGCCACACUGGAAGUGAGACACGGUCCAGACUCCUACGGGAGGCAGCAGUGGGGAAUAUUGCACGAUGGGCGCAAGCCUGAUGCAGCCAUGCCGCGUGUGUGAAGAAGGCCUUCGGGUUGUAAAGCACUUGCAGCGAGGAGGCGUUACCCGCAGAAGAAGCACCGGCUAACUCCGUGCCAGCAGCGGCGGUAAUUC